rnacentral:rRNA from 1 species
UUCCGGUUGAUCCUGCCGGACCUGACUGCUAUCAGAGUGGGACUAAGCCAUGCGAGUCAACGCCGCAAGGCGUGGCAUACGGCUCAGUAACACGUAGUCAACAUGCCCAGGGGACGUGGAUAACCUCGGAAAACUGAGGUUAACCGCGAUAGGCCAAGAUUUCUGGAAUGAUCAUGGCUGAAAUCUACAUGGCCCCUGGAUUGGACUGCGGCCGAUCAGGCUGUUGGUGAGGGAAUGGCCCACCAAACCUAUAACCGGUACGGGCUUUGAGAGAAGGAGCCCGGAGAUGGGCACUGAGACAAGGGCCCAGGCCCUAUGGGGCGCAGCAGGCGCGAAAACUCUGCAAUAGGCGAAAGCUUGACAGGGUUACUCUGAGUGAUGUCCGUUAAGGGCAUCUUUUGGUACCUCUAAAAAUGGUGCAGAAUAAGGGGUGGGCAAGUCUGGUGUCAGCCGCCGCGGUAAUACCAGCACCCCGAGUGGUCGGGGACGAUUAUUGGGCCUAAAGCAUCCGUAGCUUGUCCUGCAAGUCUUCCGUUAAAUCCACCUGCUCAACAGAUGGGCUGCGGAGGAUACUACAGGGCUAGGAGGCGGGAGAGGCAAGCGGUACUCAGUGGGUAGGGGUAAAAUCCUCUGAUCCACUGAAGACCACCAGUGGCGAAGGCGGCUUGCCAGAACGCGCUCGACGGUGAGGGAUGAAAGCUGGGGGAGCAAACCGGAUUAGAUACCCGGGUAGUCCAGCUGUAAACGAUGCAGACUCGGUGAUGGGUUGGCUUCGAGCCAACCCAGUGCCGCAGGGAAGCCGUUAAGUCUGCCGCCUGGGGAGUACGGUCGCAAGACUGAAACUUAAAGGAAUUGGCGGGGGAGCAC